UACGGAAGGCAGCAGUGGGGAAUAUUGCACAAUGGGCGCAAGCCUGAUGCAGCCAUGCCGCGUGUAUGAAGAAGGCCUUCGGGUUGUAAAGUACUUUCAGCGGGGAGGAAGGCGAUGCGGUUAAUAACCGCGUCGAUUGACGUUACCCGCAGAAGAAGCACCGGCUAACUCCGUGCCAGCAGCCGCGGUAAUACGGAGGGUGCAAGCGUUAAUCGGAAUUACUGGGCGUAAAGCGCACGCAGGCGGUCUGUUAAGUCAGAUGUGAAAUCCCCGGGCUUAACCUGGGAACUGCAUUUUGAACUGGCAGGCUUGAGUCUUGUGAGGGGGUGAAUUCCAGGUGUAGCGGUGAAAUGCGUAGAGAUCUGGAGGAAUACCGGUGGCGAAGGCGGCCCCUGGGCAAAGCUGACGCUCAGGUGCGAAAGCGUGGGGAGCGAAACAGGAUUAGAUACC
rnacentral:rRNA from 1 species